rnacentral:rRNA from 1 species
UGUGCUUACAAGUAGUCAGAGCCCGUUAAUGGGUGAUGGCGUGCCUUUUGUAGAAUGAACCGGCGAGUUACGAUUUGAUGCAAGGUUAAGCAGUAAAUGUGGAGCCGUAGCGAAAGCGAGUCUGAAUAGGGCGUUUAGUAUUUGGUCGUAGACCCGAAACCAGGUGAUCUACCCUUGGUCAGGUUGAAGUUCAGGUAACACUGAAUGGAGGACCGAACCGACUUACGUUGAAAAGUGAGCGGAUGAACUGAGGGUAGCGGAGAAAUUCCAAUCGAACCUGGAGAUAGCUGGUUCUCUCCGAAAUAGCUUUAGGGCUAGCCUCAAGUGAUGAUUAUUGGAGGUAGAGCACUGUUUGGACGAGGGGCCCCUCUCGGGUUACCGAAUUCAGACAAACUCCGAAUGCCAAUUAAUUUAACUUGGGAGUCAGAACAUGGGUGAUAAGGUCCGUGUUCGAAAGGGAAACAGCCCAGACCACCAGCUAAGGUCCCAAAAUAUAUGUUAAGUGGAAAAGGAUGUGGCGUUGCCCAGACAACUAGGAUGUUGGCUUAGAAGCAGCCAUCAUUUAAAGAGUGCGUAAUAGCUCACUAGUCGAGUGACACUGCGCCGAAAAUGUACCGGGGCUAAACAUAUUACCGAAGCUGUGGAUUGUCCUUUGGACAAUGGUAGGAGAGCGUUCUAAGGGCGUUGAAGCAUGAUCGUAAGGACAUGUGGAGCGCUUAGAAGUGAGAAUGCCGGUGUGAGUAGCGAAAGACGGGUGAGAAUCCCGUCCACCGAUUGACUAAGGUUUCCAGAGGAAGGCUCGUCCGCUCUGGGUUAGUCGGGUCCUAAGCUGAGGCCGACAGGCGUAGGCGAUGGAUAACAGGUUGAUAUUCCUGUACCACCUAUAAUCGUUUUAAUCGAUGGGGGGACGCAGUAGGAUAGGCGAAGCGUGCGAUUGGAUUGCACGUCUAAGCAGUAAGGCUGAGUAUUAGGCAAAUCCGGUACUCGUUAAGGCUGAGCUGUGAUGGGGAGAAGACAUUGUGUCUUCGAGUCGUUGAUUUCACACUGCCGAGAAAAGCCUCUAGAUAGAAAAUAGGUGCCCGUACCGCAAACCGACACAGGUAGUCAAGAUGAGAAUUCUAAGGUGAGCGAGCGAACUCUCGUUAAGGAACUCGGCAAAAUGACCCCGUAACUUCGGGAGAAGGGGUGCUCUUUAGGGUUAACGCCCAGAAGAGCCGCAGUGAAUAGGCCCAAGCGACUGUUUAUCAAAAACACAGGUCUCUGCUAAACCGUAAGGUGAUGUAUAGGGGCUGACGCCUGCCCGGUGCUGGAAGGUUAAGAGGAGUGGUUAGCUUCUGCGAAGCUACGAAUCGAAGCCCCAGUAAACGGCGGCCGUAACUAUAACGGUCCUAAGGUAGCGAAAUUCCUUGUCGGGUAAGUUCCGACCCGCACGAAAGGCGUAACGAUUUGGGCACUGUCUCAACGAGAGACUCGGUGAAAUCAUAGUACCUGUGAAGAUGCAGGUUACCCGCGACAGGACGGAAAGACCCCGUGGAGCUUUACUGUAGCCUGAUAUUGAAAUUCGGCACAGCUUGUACAGGAUAGGUAGGAGCCUUUGAAACGUGAGCGCUAGCUUACGUGGAGGCGCUGGUGGGAUACUACCCUAGCUGUGUUGGCUUUCUAACCCGCACCACUUAUCGUGGUGGGAGACAGUGUCAGGCGGGCAGUUUGACUGGGGCGGUCGCCUCCUAAAAGGUAACGGAGGCGCUCAAAGGUUCCCUCAGAAUGGUUGGAAAUCAUUCAUAGAGUGUAAAGGCAUAAGGGAGCUUGACUGCGAGACCUACAAGUCGAGCAGGGUCGAAAGACGGACUUAGUGAUCCGGUGGUUCCGCAUGGAAGGGCCAUCGCUCAACGGAUAAAAGCUACCCCGGGGAUAACAGGCUUAUCUCCCCCAAGAGUUCACAUCGACGGGGAGGUUUGGCACCUCGAUGUCGGCUCAUCGCAUCCUGGGGCUGUAGUCGGUCCCAAGGGUUGGGCUGUUCGCCCAUUAAAGCGGUACGCGAGCUGGGUUCAGAACGUCGUGAGACAGUUCGGUCCCUAUCCGUCGUGGGCGUAGGAAAUUUGAGAGGAGCUGUCCUUAGUACGAGAGGACCGGGAUGGACAUACCUCUGGUGUACCAGUUGUCGU